rnacentral:rRNA from 1 species
GACGAACGCUGGCGGCGUGCCUAAUACAUGCAAGUAGAACGCUGAAGGAGUUGCUUGCUUCUCUGGAUGAGUUGCGCACGGGUGAGUAACGCGUAUGUAACCUGCCUUUUAGCUUGUGAUAACUUUUGGAAACGAUUGCUAAUACCGCAUAAUAUUAUAUGUUGCAUGACAUUUUCUUUAAAGUUUCAUUUUCUUCACUACCAGUUGGACCUGCGUUGUUUUAUCUUGUUGGUGUGGUAACGGCUCACCAAGGCGACGAUACAUAGCCGACCUGUUAGGGUGAACGGCCAAAAUGGGAAUGGGACAAGGCACAGAAUAAGAAGGGAGGGAGGAGGAGGGAAACAUCGGAAAUGGACGGAAGUCAGAACGAGGAAAGACGAGGGAGUGAAGAAGGAUUUCGGAUCGGAAAGAACUGUUGUAAGAGAAGAACGAGAGGGAGAGUGGAAAGUUCACAGUGUGACGGUAGCUGACAAGAAAGGGACGGCUAACUACGUG